rnacentral:rRNA from 1 species
UACGGAGGGGGCGAGCGUUGUUCGGAGUUACUGGGCGUAAAGCGCACGUAGGCGGCAGGGCAAGUCUGGUGUGAAAGCCCGGGGCUCAACCCCGGAAGUGCAUUGGAAACUGCUCUGCUUGAGUACCGGAGAGGAAGGGGGAAUUCCCGGUGUAGCGGUGAAAUGCGUAGAUAUCGGGAGGAAGGCCGGUGGCGAAGGCGGCCUCCUGGGCCUGCACUGACGCUGAGGCGCGAAAGCGUGGGGAGCAAACAGG